GCGUAUGCAACUUGCCCUGCACAGGAGGAUAACCCGUCGAAGGACGGACUAAUACUGCGUACACUCACAGGGAGGCAUCUCUUGGUGAGGAAAGAAAUUCGGUGUAGGAUAGGCAUGCGUCCCAUUAGCUAGUUGGUGAGGUAACGGCUCACCAAGGCGACGAUGGGUAGGGGAACUGAGAGGUUUAUCCCCCACACUGGUACUGAGACACGGACCAGACUCCUACGGGAGGCAGCAGUGAGGAAUAUUGGUCAAUGGGCGAGAGCCUGAACCAGCCAAGUCGCGUGAAGGAUGACUGUCUUAUGGAUUGUAAACUUCUUUUGUAUGGGAAUAACGGGGCGGACGUGUCCGCUUGUGAAUGUACCAUACGAAUAAGCAUCGGCUAACUCCGUGCCAGCAGCCGCGGUAAUACGGAGGAUGCGAGCGUUAUCCGGAUUUAUUGGGUUUAAAGGGUGCGUAGGCGGCUUGUUAAGUCAGCGGUGAAAUCGUGGGGCUCAACCCCGCAACUGCCGUUGAAACUGGCGAGCUUGAGUGUAGAUGAGGUAGGCGGAAUUCGUGGUGUAGCGGUGAAAUGCAUAGAUAUCACGAGGAACUCCGAUUGCGCAGGCAGCUUACUAAGGUACAACUGACGCUGAAGCACGAAAGCGUGGGUAUCAAACAGGAUUAGAUACCCUGGUAGUCCACGCAGUAAACGAUGAUAACUGGGCGUAUGCGAUAUACAGUAUGCUCCUAAGCGAAAGCGUUAAGUUAUCCACCUGGGGAGUACGCCGGCAACGGUGAAACUCAAAGGAAUUGACGG
rnacentral:rRNA from 1 species